CGCAGUAAUUCUGUAUUUAUUUCCUUUUCUUUUCAAUCUAAUUUUAUUGAAGUGUUACAAUCGAUUGGACGAAUUUAGAAAGCAGACAGCACUAUGCAUUUUUACAAGCAACUGCUUCUAAUUGCUAUUACGAUUUUGUUUGCCAUGCAUUUUGCAAAUUCGUGUUGUGGGGCCCGUGGACAAAACCGCAUCAAAUCCCAAUUCCACAGAAUUGGCUUGCCAAAUCGAAAAUCCAUAUUCCGUGUACUAAACAGUACUUCUCCUUAUUAGAAAACAACCUUCAAUCAAACUUUCUUUAACUUAUAAAUUCUACUUUCCUACUUAACUGGUUCUUAUAUGACAGGCGGAAUUUCAAAAGGCUUCAAACAAUGUACAGAAUGUACCAAAGACCACAAUGGCUAUUGAAAUACAGAAGAUUCUAGCUCAAAUUCAGGAUACCAAGAUCCUAAGGAAUAAAGAUCAAGCCCAAGAAUUACUGAAACAAAUGAAGAAAGUGUUCCAUACUACCCCUAGGAAGCCUAAACGUACAUGUCCUUUCGCAAAGUGCAAAACAAAAUCCAUGCAACCGAUGAUUAGUUAUUAACUAAUCAAUAAACGAAAUUAAAAUCUGCAUUAAAUCUGUUUAGUGUC